ACAUGGUAUCCCAGUAACCAAACAUAUAACACAGGAGACAGGCAAGUGUCUUAUUCUUGUAGGCUACCAUUUCCUUUGGCUUAUUACAAAACAACAGGAUGUCACAACUUGAUCAAAGUCUAUUUAUUUGUCUACUAAAAGGUCAUGACUAUAAAUUUCCAACUAGAACACCUGAAAAGCAAUGUAUGGAAUUCUGACAAAUUUAAACCCAGGAAAAGAUCCUAUGAAAUGUGACAUUGAUUUACAUGUCCUGCUUAUAGAACAAGAAAAAUAAGAACAAGAGUAAGAACAGCAACAACAUUUGCAGCCACUGUCUAGACCACAGGAAACCUGGGCAACGACAUAUGGGAUGUCACCAGAUUCAGACUCAGAAGUUUCCAUAACGCUGUGGCCAACUGCUAGACACAAGGGAGUACUCUAUGUGUGCUCUAGUGAAGAUGAUGAAGUCAGAACUCUAUCUGAGCUGUGAUGAACAUGGAAAGUGAGUCGAGGAGUUGUACUUUUUUGAAACCUGAGUCUGAGAACUUGCUUAUGGAUCAUUUGUUUGUAAUGCCAGGAAAUAGAAUAGAGGACUGGGAAGAGUGAGAGAAGGAAACAAAGCCAGUAGGAGAUUAUGUUAUGAGCUGUGAGUAAUUGGGACUUGAUUCCACUAAUUGCCUUUGAAGUAUCUGAGAAUUUGCCUCCAGAGUUGUCCACCUGAAAACGAUAGAAAGGAGAACAUUUAUCUAUUGAAACUUCUCUUCAUCUUGCACUGGUCAAGAGUUGUCCUAUGGGAUAUUAAGACAGUUGCACUUUCAAGUUUGCAGCAGUGUGGGAACUAAAGCAUCCAAAAAGCCCCGAGGCAGGAAGCAAGCUGAGGCAAGGUGUUGGUGAUGAUGGUACACCUGGAUGGAGCUGACUUUAGCAGCAAUAGUUGCUGAAUAAAUUUUUCAUUUAAUCUAAAUUGCCAAAUUCAUCAGCAUAAAAUUGUUAAUGAUAUUCUUUUAGAACGUGGAUGGUGAUAGGAAGGAGAGGAGCAAAAAAAAAAAAUAACUAUUUGGUAUGAGGCUUAAUACCUGGGUUUUGAAUAAUCCGUACAACAAACCCCCAUGAAACAAAUUUACCUAUAUAACACGCCUUACCUAUAUAACACGUCCCCCCAAAUCUGAAAUAAAAGUUAAA